rnacentral:pre_miRNA from 1 species
UGAGGUAGUAGGUUGUGUGGUUUCAGGGUAGUGAUUUUGCCCCAGUCAGAAGAUAACUAUACAACCUACUGCCUUCC